rnacentral:misc_RNA from 1 species
GAAAUGCGAUAAGUAAUGUGAAUUGCAGAAUUCAGUGAAUCAUCGAAUCUUUGAACGCACCUUGCGCUCCUUGGUAUUCCUUGGAGCAUGCCUGUUUGAGUAUCAUGAAAUCUUCAAAGUAAAUCUUUUGUUAACUCAAUUGGUUUCUACUUUGGUAUUGGAGGUCUUUGCAGCUUCACACCUGCUCCUCUUUGUUCAUUAGCUGGAUCUCAGUGUUAUGCUUGGUUCCACUCGGCGUGAUAAGUUAUCUAUCGCUGAGGACACUGUAAAGGGUGGCCAAGGUAAAUGCAGAUGAACCGCUUCUAAUAGUCCAUUGACUUGGACAAUACUUUUAUGAUCUGAUCUCAAAUCAGGUAGGACUACCCGCUGAACUUAGGC